UAAAUGCGAUACGUAAUGUGAUACGCAAGUUGUAGUGAAUCAUUGAAAUCUUGAACGCAAAUUGCGCUUUUAAGUAUUAAAGCUUGAAAGCAUACUACCUUGAGGGUGGAUUUGAAGAAGUAAAAGUAAAGUGAUUUAUUUUUAUAUUUGUGGGUGGCAAUAGAAAUUAUAUUUUAUUUCUCUCCCAUUAAAAAAUGAAUAUAUGAUUAUAUUAUAUUAAUGUAUAUCAUAUUAUUAUUUAUAUCCCCACCUCAUGGUAGUAUGAUGUACCCGCUGAACUUAA
rnacentral:misc_RNA from 1 species